UUCGUAGGCGGUUUGUCGCGUCGUUUGUGAAAACCCGGGGCUCAACUUCGGGCUUGCAGGCGAUACGGGCAGACUUGAGUGUUUCAGGGGAGACUGGAAUUCCUGGUGUAGCGGUGAAAUGCGCAGAUAUCAGGAGGAACACCGGUAGCGAAGGCGGGUCUCUGGGAAACAACUGACGCUGAGGAACGAAAGCGUGGGUAGCAAACA
rnacentral:rRNA from 1 species